GUAGGGAAUAUUGCGCAAUGGACGAAAGUCUGACGCAGCGACGCCGCGUGAGUGAUGAAGGCCUUGGUCGUAAAGCUCUGUUGCAGGGGAAUAAAAAAAUGAAGGUACCCUGUGAGGAAGGAUCGGCUAACUUCGUGCCAGCAGCCGCGGUAAGACGAGGGAUCCUAGCGUUGCUCGGAAUCAUUGGGCGUAAAGAGGGCGUAGGUGGCUUGGUAAGUCAGGUGUGAAAGCCCAGGGCUCAACCCUGGAAGUGCAUUUGAUACUGCUGAGCUUGAGUGUCGGAGAGGUUACCGGAAUACCUGGUGUAGUGGUGAAAUACGUAGAUAUCAGGUGGAACACCGGAGGCGAAGGCGGGUAACUGGACGAACACUGACACUGAGGCCCGAAAGCGUGGGGAUCAAACAGGAUUAGAAACCCUAGUAGUCC
rnacentral:rRNA from 1 species